AUGCUUCAAUAAGGUGCUCAGGGUGUACGUGCAUUACCCGUGACACCAAUAGUUCAAUACACAUUUGACAAGAUGAAUGUGUACUUUUUAAAGUACUCAAUGAAGACGGAUAAGCAGAUUGCUGGUGAUAACAAGGAAAAGCACAAGUAUAAUUUUCCACCAAAGGUUGAAGAAUGGUUGGAAUUUCAAUCACGAAAGGCAGACUCCCAAGAAGUUGUUCUAUAUGACGACAACGAGUGGAAGUAUGAAGUGAAAGAGCCUGGAGGAACCUCAAACGGUGGCCACCAACACGGAGGCCGCGCGUUCAAGGUCUCCCUAACACGGUGUGAUUGCAGCUGCAUGAGGCCAUCGUUGCUUCAUCUGCCAUGAUUGCACUUGUUAAACGCAUCCCGUGUUAGGAAUGUUGACGUCAAUCACCCUCUUAUCGUGCGGGAGUCCGAGUUCUCAAUCAGAAUACAUGGGCUCCCUGGUUUGAGCCAUACUUGGACCAAUCACAAUGGCCGGAGUAUCAUGGAGUUCAACUAUGGCCGGACCCGGAAUUGA
rnacentral:rRNA from 1 species